rnacentral:rRNA from 1 species
GAUCCUGGCUCAGAAACGAACGCUGGCGGCAGGCUUAACACAUGCAAGUCGAACGAGCUGGGAACUUCGGUUCCCGAUGCUAGUGGCGCACGGGUGAGUAACACGUGGGAACGUACCCUUUAGUACGGAAUAACUCAGGGAAACUUGAGCUAAUACCGUAUGACUCCUUCGGGAGAAAGAUUUAUCGCUAAAGGAACGGCCCGCGUCUGAUUAGGUAGUUGGUGAGGUAACGGCUCACCAAGCCGACGAUCAGUAGCUGGUCUGAGAGGAUGAUCAGCCACACUGGGACUGAGACACGGCCCAGACUCCUACGGGAGGCAGCAGUGGGGAAUAUUGGACAAUGGGGGCAACCCUGAUCCAGCCAUGCCGCGUGAGUGAAGAAGGCCUUCGGGUUGUAAAGCUCUUUCGACGGGGACGAUGAUGACGGUACCCGUAUAAGAAGCCCCGGCAAACUUCGUGCCAGCAGCCGCGGUAAUACGAAGGGGGCUAGCGUUGUUCGGAAUUACUGGGCGUAAAGCGCGCGUAGGCGGUGAUCCAUGUCAGAGGUGAAAGCCUGGGGCUCAACUCCAGAAUUGCCUUUGAAAACGGGAUCGCUU